rnacentral:rRNA from 1 species
CGCUGGCGGCAUGCCUAACACAUGCAAGUCGCACGGGGUGUAGCAAUACUCUAGUGGCGGACGGGUGAGUAACGCGUAGGAAUCUGCCCUGCAGAGGGGGACAACCUGGGGAAACCCAGGCUAAUACCGCAUACGCUCGCAGGAGGAAAGCGGGGGAUCUUCGACCUCGCACUGUGGGAUUAGCCUACGUCCGAUUAGCUAGUUGGUGGGGUAAAGGCCUACCAAGGCGAUGAUCGGUAGCUGGUCUGAGAGGACGACCAGCCACACUGGGACUGAGACACGGCCCAGACUCCUACGGGAGGCAGCAGUGGGGAAUAUUUGGACAAUGGGCGCAGCCUGAUCCAGCAAUGCCGCGUGGGUGAAGACGGUCUGCGGAUUGUAAAGCCCUUUAGGCGGGGAGGAACGUCGUCGUGCGAACAGUGCGGCGAUCUGACGUUACCCGCAGAAUAAGCACCGGCUAACUCCGUGCCAGCAGCCGCGGUAAUACGGAGGGUGCGAGCGUUAAUCGGAAUUACUGGGCGUAAAGCGUGCGUAGGCGGAUGGGUCAGUCAGCCGUGAAAGCCCCGGGCUCAACCUGGGAACGGCGGUUGAGACGGCCCGUCUCGAGUGGGCUAGAGGGUCGUGGAAUUCCGGGUGUAGCGGUGAAAUGCGUAGAGAUCCGGAGGAACACCGAUGGCGAAGGCAGCGAUCUGGGGCCACACUGACGCUGAGGCACGAAAGCGUGGGGAGCAAACAGGAUUUAAAUACCCUGGUAGUCCACGCGGUAAACGAUGAGCACUAGACGCUGGGGGGGUGACCUUUCGGUGUCGUAGCUAACGCGCUAAGUGCUCCGCCUGGGGAGUACGGCCGCAAGGUUGAAACUCAAAGGAAUUGACGGGGGCCCGCACAAGCGGUGGAGCAUGUGGUUUAAUUCGAUGCAACGCGCAGAACCUUACCUGGCCUUGACAUC